UGCCAGUCCAGCAACCACCGCCUCCUCCGCCUCCCCCACCGCCCCCGCCGCCACCUCCUACAGCUUCCCCGAGUGAUCCACGGCCCACAGCCCCUGUUUAUACAGCACCACUUGGUCAACCUCCAGAAAGAACAACAGUGGUUUUUCCAAUGAAUCAACCACCUCCUCCUCUGCCUGUCAUGUUUGACGCAAGUAAACCUCCACCACUAUUACCCAAUCAAAUAAAGGCGAGUAGUGUUGCUGUGAAGCAUAAAGCAGUAAGUUUACCUGAAGCUGGACCAAGCAAAAUAAGGAAGCCAGGGGACAACAAUGUAGCAGAC